AGCAUCACGAUAGGGUUAGCUCCUCCCCCUUGGCUGUUUAGGACAGGAAAUACUUAUAAAUAGGUCUAUUUAUAAGUAUUUCCUGUCCUAAACAGCCAAGGGGGAGGAGCUAACCCUAUCGUGAUGCU